ACGACCCAGCUACCCCAUCCACGCCGAGCCAAUCCAGAUUUCAAUUUUUGAAUCGCGUCCGGAAGACGCUCCUCAUCGCCGUGAACCACUCCGGUCGGCCAACGCAGUACCGCGCACCCCCGCCGGCCAACGCAGUACCCACGAUGGAGCCAACGGAUCUUGAACCGGAGUCACUCACAGAUCUGCUGUUCAGCUUUUGUUCGGCGCCGCCCGCUGCGGUGUGCGUCCCAGAUACGGGAUGGACCGAGGAUGAAGACGACGGGGAGCAUGUCUUAUCUCCAAUAAGCACCUCCUUCCCCAAGCGAAGACGGAGGAAAUCUUCGGCUACUGAUUAAGAAUCCGAAGUUUCACGGUCCAAUCCAAUUUUUUCCACCGUCCCAGAUAUUGAUUCCAAGGACACCACUGCCAGCCACAGUUCGCCCUCGCCUGAAUCGCUACACACUCCUGCUCCAGGCCGGGAAGUGUCUGACAUGGCAAGAUACCAGACUGCUGUGCCACAUUACCAGGAAGGAGAAGUGCUUUGGACAAGGCCAUGAGAAAUUAUGCGGAUAGGGAGUUAGAGUGCGUCAUAAAUCCAGAGAUCAGCCAAGAGUUCGAUUCUUUGGCUGAAGCUUACGACUCCUACGACCUGUACUCUUGGGAAACAGGAUUUGGUAUUAAGUAUGGUCAAUGCCAAAGAAACAUACAGGGAUGCAAGACAGUCUUCAGCGAGCUGGGAUUAAUUCUUGCUGCUUGCUUACAGAUUUGUAGUUCAAGAUGAAUACGGUUUAGUAGCACAUAGACCGUACCAUCACCUUUGGAAUGCCUACAGUUCAGCUGGUUGCCUCUUUUUAUUUAUUUAUAUCUUCCUGCAACCGACUUUCACGCAUGCAGUAUAUGCCUUUUUCUGUUGAUUGUUAAGUUCUAAAGCUAGCUAAAUGGAUUUUUGUCCUCAAAAGACUAGCACUGCAAUGAGCUUUGUACAGAUCAACUAAGGUGCAGCUUAUUUUA